UUUUAAUUAUGCAGCUAGCAGUUAUGUUACUUCACACAUAACAUUGAUUAUUGUCCCCUCAUUGAACUCCAAAUUCCCUUCCAGAAGUGUUUGAAAAGAUGUUUUCUUUAAAGAUAUUCUUUUCCCUGAUUUGAAGACCAAUUUCCUUUGUGUUCUCCUUGGCUUAGGGCUAGAUUUGUCUGCAAACAGAUACUUUCGUGCUGUAGUAACAGAGAUUUAACAGAUAUUUCUCUUUUGAACAUCGGCUAUAAGGGUUACAUUGUACUUACUUUUCAGAUGUAAUUUCCUGAAAGGUUUUUGCAAAAACUACACUCGUGGAACCAACUUGCCUUCUCUUUGGUUGUCAAACUUGCGUCAUGUGAGUCUACUGAAGGCAUUUUUUUGGUCUGUAGUGAAACAAAGAGUACAGAGUGUAUGUAUUCUUUACCUUUCAAACCCUUGUUUAUUUGUCCAAACCAACUGCUUUACCUUGAAUCAUAUGUUCUUGUAAAGUACUGAAUAUUUCAUCUGAGAAUUUUGAUUGACUGGGAAUCAGGGUUGGUGCAGGGCUGAUGUUAUCUGUUGGUUGUAUCACUUGCUGAUAAUAUUUGCUUCCUCAUCAAAGGUCACAAUUACUUGAGGCUUUAGUGACAUAUUCAAUAAACUUUGUAACUUACAUUGAAAAGUGUGACUUGGGUCGUAGCAAAAGGUUAAACUGGACUCAAGUUGGAUCUGCAAAGGGAUGUCUCAUACAAUCAUAUGGUUUGUUGCAAUGUGUGAAUUGCAACCAUUUUGUGAAAUGAGUUUCAAGGGUUUAUUUAUGCACCAGUAUUGCCAACAAAGCUGUUAGUAGUCAUAAUAAAUAAGCAACAAAGCAAGCUGAUCUGCAAUCAACAACUGUUUGAGAGGCACAAAGUAAAAUAUUUUCAGUUCUUAGGUUAGUAGUUGUUGUCAGAUGCCUCUGCAUUGUUCUUUGUUAAAUUGCAGUGGAAGCAAACAAAAAAAAAUUGCUCAUGUUUUGAAGAAAAUUAUAUGUACAAUAUGAUAUUUGGUAAAAAGAUGCAGUUGUCAAAGAAAAAAAUAUAUACCAUAUUUAAAUUGUAUUGACCCAUUUAAUUGUUAGAGACCAAGUUCCCAAAGCUGGCAUCAGAGUUUAUGACAGCAUUAAGUGCAUCGGUUGUUAGCAUUCAGGGCCAGGUUGUUUGAAAAGUGGUUUGUGAUAAUCUGGGAUUAAAGUUCAACUUGUCCUUGAUUUCUCUUGUGAUAGAGUGCAUAUUAGUACUUACAUUUUGAGGAGUUUUACCCAUGUGAGACAACACUGGAGGAAAUUUAUUAACAAUUAAGACUGAUUGCAAAGCUUCAAAACUAAAUAAAAAAUUGUUGGCUAACCUUUAGUUAGCUUAACAAUGCAGCCCAGAUUAUUAAAACAGCUUAACAAGAUAAGGACUUUCAUUUUUAGACAUCUUUCAAGAUAUACUUCAAUCAAGGGGUUGUUCUGGUGAUGAAUGGAUGGCAUUUUGCUGUAUUAAGCAUUCAAAAUCAAAGUUCAUGCAAAUUUAUUGCAAACAACUUGGGCACAUAAAAGCAUGUCAAUUUUUUUUGGACAUCUAAUUUUGAUUUGGUGUGGGAUCAGUCAAAAGAUCAGUUUAAAAACAAUUUGGGCAAGUUAUAUUGAAAAUCCAUUUCACUGAGUUUUAAAUUUUGUUUGGUAUUGGACUAGUAAAACGAUCUUUUAACAACAUUUCAAAAUCUUUUAAUUUCAUGUGGAAGAGGAGUACAAAAAAUUUAAUUGAACAAUUUAAACAGAGGCUUUCAGGCCUGUGCCUUAUGUUUUAAAAAAAUACAUCCAAAUUCUAAUCCAACAAAGAAAGCAGCAGAUUUCCUAGGUGUGUUUCACCAAAGUGAAACGGUGUACCAUUGGAUGUUACAGCCUGGAAAGAGCAAGGUAUGUGAGUGACUUGAGUAAAGUACUGGUAAAGAUCAGCAGUUUAUAAUUUUAAGACAGUAUGUUAUGAAAGCAAGUACAGCGUACACUUUAGAAGCAAAGUAAGCAGUGGUCAGCUUAUUUGCUGAUCCUUAAGCCAUGGAUACAGUUAGGUAAACUUAAAUUUUUACAUCUUUUAGUACUUCUUGAGAUAUUAAUAAAAAUUUAUUAACAGAAGUACGCAAAAGCAGCUGCACCAAGUUGAAUUAAUCAUUGUACUACCUAAGUGGCAUUAGUUUGGGUAAGACAUUUUCUGCUCACAGUGUUUUUGUUUUUACCAAUUCCCUUAUUUUCAUGGAUUCUAAAGAUGCUGUAACCAGAAGUUAGAGAACACUUUUUUGAUUUAACCUGAGGAAGAGUUGUUGGAUGAAUCUCUUGUUCCAUGUAACUAAGUUUUUUUAGAAUGUUUAGUGGGUAUGCAUCUCCUAUAUCACAACCAACCAUAGUUGAUGGCAAUUGUUUCUGAGUUGUGUUUAAGUGUAAAAUGAACUUGCUGAAUUUGGUCACCUUUUAUUUUAUCGAUUGAACAUUUUCAAUUGUUAUUCUUAUGUUUAGUUUUGGUAAUUCCUGAAAACUUACUCGGCAAAUCUUAUGCUCUGUGUAUGAAGUUCAAGCAUUGUUGUUAGCUACCACUAGUAGUCAUCGGCAUUAUCUUAUAUGCGGUAAGCAGCGUAAUUCAAUUAUUGCCCCUCGCUGGGGAAAGAAUUUGAAAAAAGUUGCAGAUAUUCAAGUGAACCUUCGUUGACUGGUGUUGAAUGGCAUAUCUGCCGAUGUGAUGCACAUAACAGCUGAAGCUUAUUGGUGUCAUUUGAAGAGUGCAGUAACUUCAAACAGAGAUUGAAAUUGUAACUUACCCAGCUAUGGGGGGAUUUCCUGUCAUUAUUGUGUGUGGUUACAAAGUUGAAGGUUUACUGCCCCACAUGGCAGAGCAAGGAAUACCGAGUUGAGAGUUGAUUCACCAUCAAUUUGUAAGCCCAAUUUUUGGAAGAGUUACAGAUUAAAGCUAGGGAACCAAGGGGAACAAAAGUCACCAAAGUUUUGACAGCACAGAGAACAAAUUAUGUGCGUUCAAACAGAUAUUUCGACAGCACAAGGAGUAAAUGAGGAAUGGCUUCAUUUGUUUUUACAUUUGGUCGUUGUAAAUUUAGCAGCUAGAUUCCAUCUUGCCAUGCAUUUGUUC